AUUGGUGUAAUGGCUGGCUGAUCACCAGACAAAGCUAUUGUGGAAAGAUUCUUCUAUGUGGAAAGAUUCUGAAUUGUGUGACUCACCCCAUCCCUCAAAUUCAUCUAUUGAAACCCUAAUCCUCAAUGUUACUAUACUUGGAUAUUGGGCAUAUAAGGAGCCAUGGGAAGAUGCAGUGAGAAGGUACCCAUCUACAAGCCAGGAAGAGAGUUCUCAGCAGGAACCAAAUCAGCCGGUACCUUGACCUUGACUUGCCAGCCUCCAGAACUGUGAGAAAAUAAAUCUCCAUCCACACCAUACGCAAGAAAUAAACUCAAAAUGGAUGAAAGAUCUAAAUGUGAGACAUGAAACCAUUGAAGUCCUGGAGGAGAACACAAGCAGUCACGUCUUUGACAUUCGGCCGUUGCCACUUCUUACUAAAUAUUUCUCCUGAGGCAAGAGAAACAAAAGCAAAAUUAAACUGUUGGGACUUCAGAGACGCUUUCUUGGAUCACUCUGUCUAAAUACCACUCAUCUGCAGUACUCUGUGCAGCAUGUAUCACCAACUGAUCAUACUCACAGUUUAGCUUUUCCUUUAAUUGUCAGUUUCUUUCAUUAAAAUGUAUGAUUUUCGAGGGCAGGUGUUUUGUCUUGUCCACUGCUGUAUUCCCAAUGCUUAGAAAAAUGCCUGCACAUGGUAGGUGUUCAAUUAAUAUUCAUUGAAUGAAUGGAUUCAUUCAAUACAGUUUUCUUAGACAUGACUAAAAGAUAAUUUAUACUCAAAAGAAAGGAAAACAUUCUUACCAAUGAAAUUCUUUUCAGAAUUUGAAAACUUCAGCUAAUAAGGACUAAGGGGUAUGCUAAGAUUUGUUGCAUCCAUUCACCAAAAAAACCAGAGCCUUCUGUUUCUGUCUUUACCCCCUUUAACUUUAGGAGGUCAGACCAAGUUCCAUCAGCUAGAUACUACUGACGAUGAUGAUGAUAAUGAUUGUAUCAACCACAUCUAACAUUUAGUGCAUGUUUCAUGGGCACCAGGAAUUUUCCUAGGUGCAUUUUUAAUGUAUCAUCUAAUUUAAUCUUCACAUCAAGGUUUUUUUUUUUUAAGAUUUUAUUUAUUUAUU